rnacentral:rRNA from 1 species
UACGAGUAGGGCUACACACGUGCUACAAUGGCGCAUACAAAGAGAAGCGACCUCGCGAGAGCAAGCGGACCUCAUAAAGUGCGUCGUAGUCCGGAUUGGAGUCUGCAACUCGACUCCAUGAAGUCGGAAUCGCUAGUAAUCGUAGAUCAGAAUGCUACGGUGAAUACGUUCCCGGGCCUUGUACACACCGCCCGUCACACCAUGGGAGUGGGUUGCAAAAGAAGUAGGUAGCUUAACCUUCGGGAGGGCGCUUACCACUUUGUGAUUCAUGACUGGGGUGAAGUCGUAACAAGGUAACCGUAGGGGAACCUGCGGUUGGAUCACCUCCU